rnacentral:rRNA from 1 species
CAUGCAGUCGAACGGUAACAGAGAGUAGCUUGCUACUCUGUUGACGAGUGGAGCACGGGUGAGUAAUAUAUAGAUAAUGUGCCUUUUAGCCUGGGAUAGCCAUUGGAAACGAUGAUUAAUACUGGAUACUCCUUCUAACUCUAAUGUUAGUCGGGAAAGUUUUUCGCUAAAAGAUCGGUCUAUAUCCCAUCAGUUAGUUGGUAAGGUAACGGCUUACCAAGGCAAUGACGGGUAGCGGGUUUGAGAGGAUGAUCCGCCACACUGGUACUGAGACACGGACCAGACUCCUACGGGAGGCAGCAGUGAGGAAUAUUGCACAAUGGGGGAAACCCUGAUGCAGCAACGCCGCGUGGAGGAUGACGCAUUUCGGUGUGUAAACUCCUUUUAUAUGUCAAGAAAAUGACGGUAGCAUAUGAAUAAGCACCGGCUAACUCCGUGCCAGCAGCCGCGGUAAUACGGAGGGUGCAAGCGUUAUUCGGAAUCACUGGGCGUAAAGGACGCGUAGGCGGGUUGGUAAGUCAGAUGUGAAAUCCUACAGCUUAACUGUAGAACUGCAUUUGAAACUACUAACCUAGAGUAUGGGAGGGGGAGAUGGAAUUAGUGGUGUAGGGGUAAAAUCCGUAGAUAUCACUAGGAAUACCGAAAGCGAAGGCGAUCUCCUGGAACAUAACUGACGCUAAGGCGUGAAAGCGUGGGGAGCAAACAGGAUUAGAUACCCUGGUAGUCCACGCCCUAAACGAUGAACACUAGUCGUCGGGAUGCUAGUCAUCUCGGUGAUGCACUUAACAGAUUAAGUGUUCCGCCUGGGGAGUACGGUCGCAGA